rnacentral:tRNA from 2 species
GCGAUCGUGGUGGAACGGUAGACACGCGGGCUUGAGGGGCUCGUGCCUAACGGUGUGGGGGUUCAAAUCCCCCCGAUCGCACCA